CUGGCCGUAAACGAUGAAUGCUAGGUGUGGGUGUAGAGAUACAUUCGUGCCGGAGUUAACGCGAUAAGCAUUCCGCCUGGGGAGUACGGUCGCAAGAUUGAAACUCAAAGGAAUUGACGGGGGCCCGCACAAGCGGUGGAGCACGUGGUUUAAUUCGAUGCAAACCGAAGAACCUUACCUGGGUUUGACAUGUACGUGGUACGGAUCUGAAAGGUGAAGGACCUUUUCUUCGGAAGAGGAGCGUACACAGGUGC
rnacentral:rRNA from 1 species